rnacentral:rRNA from 1 species
AACGAACGCUGGCGGCAUGCCUAACACAUGCAAGUCGAACGAGACCUUCGGGUCUAGUGGCGCACGGGUGCGUAACGCGUGGGAACCUGCCCUUAGGUUCGGAAUAACUCCCCGAAAGGGGUGCUAAUACCGGAUAAUGUCUUCGGACCAAAGAUUUAUCGCCUUUGGAUGGGCCCGCGUUGGAUUAGCUAGUUGGUAGGGUAAAAGCCUACCAAGGCGACGAUCCAUAGCUGGUCUGAGAGGAUGAUCAGCCACACUGGGACUGAGACACGGCCCAGACUCCUAGGGGAGGGAGCAGGGGGGAAUAUGGGAAAGGGGGCGAAAGCCGGACCCAGAAAGGCCGGGGGAGUGAUGAAGGCUUUGGGGUUGAAAAGCUCUUUUACCCGGGAUGAAAAGGAAAGUACCGGGGGAAAAAGCCCCGGCAAACCCCGU